rnacentral:rRNA from 1 species
GAUGAACGCUAGCUACAGGCUUAACACAUGCAAGUCGAGGGGUAACGAGAGGAAAGCUUGCUUUCCUUGUCGACGACCGGCGCACGGGUGAGUAACGCGUAUCCAACCUGCCCCCAACUAGGGAAUAACCUUGCGAAAGUAAGACUAAUACCCUAUAAUUUCCUCAGAUGUCAUCUGACGAGGAAUAAAGAUUUAUCGGUUGUGGAUGGGGAUGCGUCUGAUUAGCUUGUUGGCGGGGUAACGGCCCACCAAGGCAACGAUCAGUAGGGGUUCUGAGAGGAAGGGCCCCCACAUUGGAACUGAGACACGGUCCGAACUCCUACGGGAGGCAGCAGUGAGGAAUAUUGGUCAAUGGGCGGAAGCCUGAACCAGCCAAGUAGCGUGCAGGAUGACGGCCCUAUGGGUUGUAAACUGCUUUUAUACAGGAAUAAAGUUAGCCACGUGUGGUUAUUUGUAGGUACUGUAUGAAUAAGGACCGGCUAAUUCCGUGCCAGCAGCCGCGGUAA